GAUGAACGCUGGCGGCGUGCCUAAUACAUGCAAGUCGAGCGAACAGAUAAGGAGCUUGCUCCUUUGACGUUAGCGGCGGACGGGUGAGUAACACGUGGGUAACCUACCUAUAAGACUGGAAUAACCCCGGGAAACCGGGGCUAAUGCCGGAUAACAUUUAGAACCGCAUGGUUCUAAAGUGAAAGAUGGUUUUGCUAUCACUUAUAGAUGGACCCGCGCCGUAUUAGCUAGUUGGUAAGGUAACGGCUUACCAAGGCAACGAUACGUAGCCGACCUGAGAGGGUGAUCGGCCACACUGGAACUGAGACACGGUCCAGACUCCUACGGGAGGCAGCAGUAGGGAAUCUUCCGCAAUGGGCGAAAGCCUGACGGAGCAACGCCGCGUGAGUGAUGAAGGUCUUCGGAUCGUAAAACUCUGUUAUUAGGGAAGAACAAAUGUGUAAGUAACUGUGCACGUCUUGACGGUACCUAAUCAGAAAGCCACGGCUAACUACGUG
rnacentral:rRNA from 1 species